rnacentral:rRNA from 1 species
AACGCGAAGAACCUUACCUGGUCUUGACAUCCACGGAAGUUUUCAGAGAUGAGAAUGUGCCUUCGGGAACCGUGAGACAGGUGCUGCAUGGCUGUCGUCAGCUCGUGUUGUGAAAUGUUGGGUUAAGUCCCGCAACGAGCGCAACCCUUACCCUUUGUUGCCAGCGGUCCGGCCGGGAACUCAAAGGAGACUGCCAGUGAUAAACUGGAGGAAGGUGGGGAUGACGUCAAGUCAUCAUGGCCCUUACGACCAGGGCUACACACGUGCUACAAUGGCGCAUACAAAGAGAAGCGACCUCGCGAGAGCAAGCGGACCUCAUAAAGUGCGUCGUAGUCCGGAUUGGAGUCUGCAACUCGACUCCAUGAAGUCGGAAUCGCUAGUAAUCGUGGAUCAGAAUGCCACGGUGAAUACGUUCCCGGGCCUUGUACACACCG